rnacentral:rRNA from 1 species
GACGAACGCUGGCGGCGUGCCUAAUACAUGCAAGUAGAACGCUGAAGGAGGAGCUUGCUCUUCUGGAUGAGUUGCGAACGGGUGAGUAACGCGUAGGUAACCUGCCUGGUAGCGGGGGAUAACUAUUGGAAACGAUAGCUAAUACCGCAUAACAGUAGAUGCUGCAUGACAUUUGCUUAAAAGGUGCAAUUGCAUCACUACCAGAUGGACCUGCGUUGUAUUAGCUAGUUGGUGGGGUAACGGCUCACCAAGGCGACGAUACAUAGCCGACCUGAGAGGGUGAUCGGCCACACUGGGACUGAGACACGGCCCAGACUCCUACGGGAGGCAGCAGUAGGGAAUCUUCGGCAAUGGACGGAAGUCUGACCGAGCAACGCCGCGGGAGUGAAGAAGGUUUUCGGAUCGUAAAGCUCUGUUGUAAGAGAAGAACGAGUGUGAGAGUGGAAAGUUCACACUGUGACGGUAUCUUACCAGAAAGAGACGGCUAACUACGUG